rnacentral:rRNA from 1 species
CAGCCCGGUAAUUCCAGCUCCAAUAGCGUAUAUUAAAGUUGUUGCAGUUAAAAAGCUCGUAGUUGAAUUUCGGGGUCAGUAGGUCGGUCGUGCCACUGGUAUGAACUGGUUUUACUGAUUCCUCCCUCUUGAAGAACUGUAAUGCCAUUAAUUUGGUGUUGCAGGGAAUCAGGACUGUUACUUUGAAAAAAUUAGAGUGUUUAAAGCAGGCUUUAGCUUGAAUACAUUAGCAUGGAAUAAUGAAAUAGGACGUUUGAUCCUAUUUUGUUGGUUUCUAGGAUUGACGUAAUGAUUAAUAGGGAUAGUUGGGGGCAUUAGUAUUCAAUUGUCAGAGGUGAAAUUCUUGGAUUUAUUGAAGACUAACUACUGCGAAAGCAUUUGCCAAGGAUGUUUUCAUUAAUCAAGAACGAAAGUUAGGGGAUCGAAGACGAUCAGAUACCGUCGUAGUCUUAACCAUAAACUAUGCCGACUAGGGAUCGGAUGAUGUUAAUUUUUUAAUGACUCAUUCGGCGCCUUACG